UACGUAGGGUGCAAGCGUUAAUCGGAAUUACUGGGCGUAAAGCGUGCGCAGGCGGUUUUGUAAGUUUGUCGUGAAAUCCCCGGGCUCAACCCUGGGAAUGGCGAUGAAGACUGCAAGGCUAGAAUCUGGCAGAGGGGGUGAGAAUUCCACGUGUGAGCAGUGAAAUGCGUAGAGAUGUGGAGGAACACCGGUGGCGAAGGCGGCUGCACUGGCUCAGUAUCUGACGCUCAGGCGCGACAGCGUGGGAUCAAACAGGAU
rnacentral:rRNA from 1 species